CUCUGGGGUCUGAAGAGAGGCCAGCGUGUCCCAAAGGCAAGCCCACGGGGGAAUUUCCAGGAGAGAGGAAGGAGACAGGGGAGCAGCAGAUUUAAGACUAAGUGGAUUAUGACACCAUGUGAUGACAUGGUAACUGGAUCACACCAUUCCUCUCCACUGCCCUUGUCUGGGGGAUGGUGGGCGGGCCACUGUUCCCAUGUGAGGGACGGUGAAUGGAUAACUCUAAACGUAGUGACUCAGGCUCACAGCAGUGUAUACAUCGACAUACACAGAAAAUCAGGGACGGCGGUGGUGGUGAGAGUUGGUGUAUCCUGGAGUUACGAAAAACGAGUGGGGGAAAUGUGUGUUCUUUGAGCUGGCAUCAUUGAAAUGGAUAUGAAAGUUGAAUGAUUUGUCUCUGAGGCUCUGAAAGACUUCAAGAAAUUGACAAGCGCAUCAUCUUCCUUCUAACAACCUCCCUCUCUCGCUGGUACACCUCCCCAUACGCCCACGCGUGCUGUCACAUUUAGAGGAGAGCUGAAUUCUUACACUGCAAGUGUCCUCUUUCUGCCGAGCGGCACAGGGGAAGAUGUCUCAAUUGCACAUGUGGGAACCGACGGUCCAGGCGCUAUACACAAGUUACAGGCCCUCCCGCGAAGACCAGCAAAGCCAGGAUUGCUUGCUGUAAAACUAAAGAGGGAGUGUAUUUGAUUUCAUUUGGUGCUUGAGCAUAAUUUCUUCAGUGCUUGGUGGGAUUUCGGAUUUCUUUGGCUCUCCUAAAUCAUCUUAAUGUCUUCCCUUCUGACUCUGUGGUCAUUUUGAAACAUGGCUGCAUGUUCUUUGACACAUCGUCCAUCAACAGUCAAGAUCUACGUACCCUCCGCUUGGAUCUGAGCAGGCUUGGG
rnacentral:lncRNA from 1 species